rnacentral:rRNA from 1 species
UUGCCAGCAUUCAGUUGGGCACUCUAAGGUGACUGCCGGCUAAAAGUCGGAGGAAGGUGGGGAUGACGUCAAAUCAUCAUGCCCCUUAUGACCUGGGCUACACACGUGCUACAAUGGGCGGUACAAAGGGUCGCGAACCCGCGAGGGGGAGCCAAUCCCAAAAAGCCGCUCUCAGUUCGGAUUGCAGGCUGCAACUCGCCUGCAUGAAGCCGGAAUCGCUAGUAAUCGCGGAUCAGCAUGCCGCGGUGAAUACGUUCCCGGGCCUU